UACAGAGGGUGCUAGCGUUGUUCGGAGUCAUUGGGCGUAAAGCGUGCGCAGGCGGCUUUGCAAGACAGAUGUGAAAUCCCCGGGCUUAACCUGGGAACUGCAUUUGUGACUGCAUGGCUGGAGUGCGGCAGAGGGGGAUGGAAUUCCGCGUGUAGCAGUGAAAUGCGUAGAUAUGCGGAGGAACACCGAUGGCGAAGGCAAUCCCCUGGGCCUGCACUGACGCUCAUGCACGAAAGCGUGGGGAGCAAACAGG
rnacentral:rRNA from 1 species